rnacentral:tRNA from 1 species
GUGUCAGUAGCCCAGUGGUAGAGCGUUUGCCUGGUAAGCAAAAGGUCCAGUGUUCGACUCACUGUUGAGGCA